GAUAAGAACGUAGCGAAAUGCGAUAAGUAAUGUGAAUUGCAGAAUUCAGUGAAUCAUCGAAUCUUUGAACGCACAUCGCGCCCCCUGGUAUUCCGGGGGGCAUGCCUGUCCGAGCGUCAUUACAACCCUCAAGCUCAGCUUGGUGUUGGGCCCCGCCGCCCCGGCGGGCCCUAAAGUCAGUGGCGGUGCCGUCCGGCUCCGAGCGUAGUAAUUCUUCUCGCUCUGGAGGUCCGGUCGUGUGCUCGCCAGCAACCCCCAAUUUUUUUCAGGUUGACCUCGGAUCAGGUAGGGAUACCCGCUGAACUUAAGCAUAUCAAUAAGCGGAGGA
rnacentral:misc_RNA from 1 species